UGUUUGGGUUAAGUCCCGCAACGAGCGCAACCCUUGUCAUUUAGUUGCCAUUCAUUUGGUUGGGCACUCUAAUGGAGACUGCCGGUGACAAACCGGAGGAAGGUGGGGAUGACGUCAAGUCCUCAUGGCCCUUUAUGGGGUAGGGCUUCACACGUCAUACAAUGGUCGGUACAGAGGGUUGCCAACCCGCGAGGGGGAGCUAAUCCCACAAAGCCGAUCGUAGUCCGGAUCGCAGUCUGCAACUCGACUGCGUGAAGUCGGAAUCGCUAGUAAUCGUGGAUCAGCAUGUCACGGUGAAUACGUUCCCGGGUCUU
rnacentral:rRNA from 1 species